rnacentral:rRNA from 1 species
UACGUAGGGUGCGAGCGUUAAUCGGAAUUACUGGGCGUAAAGGGUUCGUAGGUGGCUUGCUAAGUCAGACGUGAAAUCCCUCAGCUUAACUGGGGAACUGCGUCUGAUACUGGCGAGCUUGAGUGCAGGAGAGGAACGCGGAAUUCCAGGUGUAGCGGUGAAAUGCGUAGAUAUCUGGAGGAACACCGGUGGCGAAGGCGGCGUUCUGGACUGCAACUGACACUGAUGAACGAAAGCCAGGGGAGCAAACGGG